CAGAGGAAUGUGACUGCCAAACUUUGCCAAGACAAGGAAAAAGAACCCUUCAGAAUAUCCUGCUUCACAGAAAUGGUCAUCAGAUAUCCCAGGCCUAUCGGCCGAAGAUAGAUAGUCCAACACUGCAGAGAACAGUCUUGUGUGACUGUUCAGUUUUUUUUUUCUCCAGAGGUGUGGAAUUGAGACCGUUUAUCGUUUAAGGAUUACACAGUCUCUAACGUGGAAUGCUCCAGCAUUGUUUUCUGACAACUGAACAAAAGAUUUCUUUGCCUUUGUUUACUUCACUCUUGCUGGGUGAUCAUCUCAAUUGGACAGACACUUUGGUAUCUGGUUGGUGCUUAUGUACUGAAAGAUUGUGAAGACAAGAGAACUUUUACUGUUUGUCCAGACGCUGCACCCAUCAUGAUUGCUCAAUCUGAAAAUUGAGGUUGAUGGCUUCUCAUUAUCUCCUGCCUCCUCAGAGGCAGUCAGAUUGAUACUCAAAGAAUAUCAAAGCUAACUUCUCAAAGUCAAUGUGAGUGAACAUUAGGCUUACUGAGAUAAAUACAAUUGCCCUGGUGUUACCGAGCGAUUCACUGGGAGUGCUUCUGGUUUAUUUGAUAUGACUGAAUAUUGAAACUCUCUGUUAUU